GGGAAGGGCUCCGCCAUCUUUUUCCAUAGCACCGUGGAGGUGCGGGGCUGCGCCCAUCGUGUGCGGGGAGAGGGGCAGAGAAGGGCCGGGCUGAGGGCACAGCGGUGCCGGCGGAGCGCUCUUCAUAGCGAGGACCUCACGGAGGGGUCGUGGCGGAAAGAUGAAAAACAGCGCCACGCCGCAGUGGGCACCUCUGAAAGCGCUCAGUCGCAGUCGGAAAGCCGUCUGGGAACGCUGCCCACAGUUCUCGCAGUAAUGACUCAGUCGGGAGGAGGGGCGGAAAUGGGGGAGGUUCCGCAGUACUGUUCCUGUUUGUCUUUGGUCUGUGGAAGAGCGGGCAAGCUGCCCAGGAUGACUGCGGGUUGUAAGAGACUAUUCUUUUAUAUCAUUUGACUCAAAGUUUGCCGAGGAGCAAGUCCAGGCAAGUCCUGGGCAAAGGUAGAGAAAUCUUCCUUCUGGAGGACACUGAUGGACGGGUCCUGGCUGAGGGUUGUGAAAUCCUCCAAGGAGCACAGAUGGACACGGCCAGGGGCAGCGAGAGAGAGAUGAGCUGCUGAUAACGGCCGGGAAACGGUCUUUGUGUGUGGGCUUACCUCGAGGAAGAUGGCCAUCUCAGGAGGUACGCACAGGGCUCUUGCUCAAGCACCCAGGGGUGUCAGUAGGCAGCAGAAAAUGGAGGAUAAAAGAGGGGCCAACAACCCCGACAGAUUGGGAGGGGUUUUCUGCCAUCAGAUCCCUCACCACGACGGACUGAGAGGGGUUUUCUGCCAUCAGAUCCCUCACCACGACG
rnacentral:lncRNA from 1 species